rnacentral:rRNA from 1 species
GACGAACGCUGGCGGCGUGCCUAAUACAUGCAAGUCGAACGCUGAAGCAGGAGCUUGCUUCGCUGGAUGAGUUGCGAACGGGUGGGUAACGCAUAAGUAACCUGCCCUGUAGCGGGGGAUAACUAUUCGAAACGAUAGCUAAUACAGCAUAAGAGAUGCUGUUGCAUGAGAUUGGCUUGAAAGGUGCAGUUGUUUCACUACUAGAUGGUGCUGCGUCGUAUUAGCUGGUUGGUGGGGUAACGGCUUACCACGGCGACGAUACAUAGCCGACCUGAGAGGGGGAUCGGCCACACUGGGACUGAGACACGGCCCAGACUCCUACGGGAGGCAGCAGUAGGGAAGCUUCGGCAAUGGACGGAAGUCUGACGGAGCAACGCCGCGGGAGUGAAGAAGGUGUUCGGAUCGUAAAGCUCUGUUGUAAGAGAAGAACGAGUGUGGGAGUGGAUAUGUCAGACUUGACGGUAAUCGUACAAGAAACGCAGGCCAACUUAGGG